UGAUCUCCAUCACAGUAUCAUCGAAAUACCUUUCAAUGGGCUGGAACAAUUCAAAUUCACACCCAUUAAAGAUCAUCGAUUUAGAAUGAUCCUUGUGAGUUCUCACAAUCCACUAGUGAUGUCAAUAGCAUAUGGUGGCAAUCCAGCAGAAUCAAAAAUAGAACCCCUAAGUGUAGUUACCAUGUGAUUCAGUUUCUUUAUCGUGAGUUCCCACA
rnacentral:lncRNA from 1 species